AAUUAAUAUUAAUUCGUGGAAGAUGUAAAUUGGUGGAUAAAGGAUACCUACAAAUCCAUGAAUGUUGAGCCACCAGUCGUCCACGAUAUCUAAUGAUUCCACAGUAUAUAUGGUUUAAACUACAGGGAAAAAACAACAAAUAAAAUAUGUCUUCAUUACAGGAUAUUGCGGUGUUCUAGACAAGAAUACAUAUAACUUUGAUUACGUACCAUGUCGGGCUAUCCGUGGAUGUCCGGAUCAAGUUUAUACAUCAAGUGAAAUUUAUAAAUUUCCAGUGUGUUUUGAUAAUUUUUAUGGUGAAACUACACAGUCUUCCACAAGGAAACAAAGUACCAACACAGUAACAUUGAUGAGGAAACCUUCAGAGACUGAGAAUGGAAGUUCUGGAACUGAUGUUGGGAUUGUGUUUGCUGUAGUGGUUGUAGUGCUGAUUCUACUUAUAACCAUUGCUUUGGUUAUUGUGUUUGUUUUGUAUC